AGCUAACAGGAUUCCCCUAGUAACUGCGAGUGAAGCGGGAAAAGCUCAAAUUUAAAAUCUGGCAGUCUUUGGCUGUCCGAGUUGUAAUCUAGAGAAGUAAUGCCCGUGCUGGACCGUAUACAAGUCUCCUGGGAUGGAGCAUCAUAGAGGGUGAGAAUCCCGUCUUUGAUACGGACUACCAGUGCAUUGUGGUAUGCUCUCAACGAGUCGAGUUGUUUGGGAAUGCAGCUCAAAAUGGGUGGUAAAUUCCAUCUAAAGCUAAAUAUUGGCGAGAGACCGAUAGCGAACAAGUACCGUGAGGGAAAGAUGAAAAGAACUUUGGAAAGAGAGUUAAACAGUACGUGAAAUUGCUGAAAGGGAAACGCUUGAAGUCAGUCACGUCUGCUGGGAAUCAGCCUCGCUCCUGCGUGGUGUACUUUCUGGUAGACGGGUCAGCAUCAGUUUUGACCACUGGAAAAAGGUGUGGGGAAUGUGACAGCUCCGGCUGUGUUAUAGCCUCAUAUUGUAUACAGUGGUUGGGACUGAGGAACGCAGCACGCCGCAAGGCCGGGUCUUUGACCACGUUCGUGCUUAGGAUGCUGGCAUAAUGGCUUUAAGCGACCCGUCUUGAAACACGGACCAAGGAGUCUAACAUGCCUGCGAGUGUUUGGGUGGAAAACUCGAGCGCGCAAUGAAAGUGAAAGUUGAGAUCCCUGUCGUGGGGAGCAUCGACGCCCGGACCAGAACUUUUGGGACGGAUCCGCGGUAGAGCAUGUAUGUUGGGACCCGAAAGAUGGUGAACUAUGCCUGAAUAGGGUGAAGCCAGAGGAAACUCUGGUGGAGGCUCGUAGCGGUUCUGACGUGCAAAUCGAUCGUCAAAUUUGGGUAUAGGGGCGAAAGACUAAUCGAACAUCUAGACUGGUCUCGCAGAGGCCUUUCCCCAAAUAAAAAAAAAAAAAAA
rnacentral:rRNA from 1 species